UUUGUAUUCAUUGCACCCCUGCUGUUAUUGAUAUCAUUACGCAUGGUGCUCACGCUGCGAGGAGGGGGUUGUGACUGGCAACCGGGAGGUCAUGGAGCUGUAGGCCCUAACGAGAAGUGACAUUGGCUCCAGGUCGGCCAAGAAUCCACCGGAUUUCAAUGGGAGCCGCACUUUCCCAGUCAGCGCAUUAGAUCAAAGAUCAUUACCUGCUAAUCAAAACACAUGAAUGAUCUUGGCCAGGAGUGGUGCUGAAAGACUGAAUGGUAGACGAUGGAAGACUCUCUUCUCCCAUGUCAGCGCUUUGGCCCCAAACCUUGUCUUGGCUGGCGGUGGAGGCACGAGACGGCGGCCGUGCACAGAUGCAAAUUUCACAUCAAGCUCCAGACUGGCCACCACAGUCAUCCCACCACAGGCCUCAUGUCAGGUAUAAACACCACUCCUGGGAAUGAGUCACGUCACUGGGAUCUACCACAGACAGCUUCAAUCAUGACCGAGCCAGAGGCCUGGUACAGCUUGGAUGGAGUCAGACAAUCAGAAAGCCAUAAAUAGAUAACUAUUGAU